UAAACAAAGCAUAGUCGAAAACACUAAACUAUCCGCCAGAGAACUACAAGCGAAAAGCUCGAAACUCCAAGGACUUGGCGGUGCUUCAUAUCAACCUAGAGGAGCCUGUCCUAUAAUCGAUACCCCGCGCUAAACCUUACCGCUUCUAGCCAACCAGCCUAUAUACCGCCGUCGUCAGCCUACCUCAUGAGAGAUGCAAAGUGAGCAAAAAAGUUAACAACUAACACGUCAGGUCAAGGUGUAGCACACGAAGCGGCAGAGAUGGGCUACAUUUUUUUCGAAGACAAAAUACGAAUAGUGAACUGAAACACACACUUGAAGGAGGAUUUAGUAGUAAGAUUGAAUGAUCCUAUUCAUCUAAAACCUGCUCUGAAGCGCGCACACACCGCCCGU
rnacentral:rRNA from 1 species